rnacentral:rRNA from 1 species
GGCCAGCAGCCGCGGUAAUACGUAGGGGGCGAGCGUUGUCCGGAUUUAUUGGGCGUAAAGGGCGUGUAGGCGGUUUGCUAAGUCGGGGGUGAAAACCCAGGGCUCAACCCUGGGCCUGCCUCCGAUACUGGUGAACUUGAGUGCUCUAGAGGGCAGUGGAAUUCCCGGUGUAGCAGUGAAAUGCGUAGAGAUCGGGAGGAACACCAGUGGCGAAGGCGACUGCCUGGGGAGUAACUGACGCUGAGGCGCGAAAGCUGGGGGAGCAAACGGGAUUAGAUACCCCGGUAGUCCCAGCCGUAAACGAUGAGUGCUAGGUGUAGCGGGUAUCGACCCCCGCUGUGCCGGAGUUAACGCAAUAAGCACUCCGCCUGGGGAGUACGGCCGCAAGGUUGAAACUUAAAGGAAUUGGCGGGGGA